rnacentral:rRNA from 1 species
AUUCCAGCUCCAAUAGCGUAUAUGUAAGUUGCUGCAGUUAAAAAGCUCGUAGUUGGAUUUCGGGUGGGAAUGGCCGGUCCGCCGUUUCGGUGUGCACUUGCUACGCCCACCUUGCUGCCGGGGACGUGCUCUUGAGUUUGCGCUCGGGACACGGAGUCGGCGAGGUUACUUUGAGUAAAUUAGAGUGUUCAAAGCAGGCCUACGCUCUGAAUACAUUAGCAUGGAAUAACACGAUAGGACUCUGGCCUAUCUUGUUGGUCUGUAGGACCGGAGUAAUGAUUAAGAGGGACAGUCGGGGGCAUUCGUAUUUCAUUGUCAGAGGUGAAAUUCCUGGAUUUAUGAAAGACGAACUACUGCGAAAGCAUUUGCCAAGGAUGUUUUCAUCA